rnacentral:rRNA from 1 species
GAUAAACGCUGGCGGCGUGCCUAAUACAUGCAAGUCGAGCGAACAGACGAGGAGCUUGCUCCUCUGACGUUAGCGGCGGACGGGUGAGUAACACGUGGAUAACCUACCUAUAAGACUGGGAUAACUUCGGGAAACCGGAGCUAAUACCGGAUAAUAUAUUGAACCGCAUGGUUCAAUAGUGAAAGACGGUUUUGCUGUCACUUAUAGAUGGAUCCGCGCCGCAUUAGCUAGUUGGUAAGGUAACGGCUUACCAAGGCAACGAUGCGUAGCCGACCUGAGAGGGUGAUCGGCCACACUGGAACUGAGACACGGUCCAGACUCCUACGGGAGGCAGCAGUAGGGAAUCUUCCGCAAUGGGCGAAAGCCUGACGGAGCAACGCCGCGUGAGUGAUGAAGGUCUUCGGAUCGUAAAACUCUGUUAUUAGGGAAGAACAAAUGUGUAAGUAACUAGGCACGUCUUGACGGUACCUAAUCAGAAAGCCACGGCUAACUACGUG